UACGGAGGGGGCAAGCGUUGUCCGGACUUACUGGGCGUAAAGGGUGCGUAGGCGGCCUGCUGCGUCGGUGCUGAAAGCGCCCGGCUUAACCGGGCGAGGCGUGCCGAUACGAGCGGGCUGGAGCCUUGGCGAGGGUGGCGGAACUCCUGGUGUAGUGGUGAAAUUCGUAGAUAUUAGGAAGAACACCAGUGGCGAAGGCGGCUCACUGGUCCGGUACUGACGCUGAGGUGCGAAAGCGUGGGGAGCAAACAGG
rnacentral:rRNA from 1 species